GGCGUGCCUAACACAUGCAAGUCGAACGCGAAAGGGGAGCAAUCCCUGAGUAGAGUGGCGGACGGGUGAGUAACGCGUGGGAACGUGCCCCUUGGUACGGAAUAGCCCCGGGAAACUGGGAGUAAUACCGUAUGAGCUCUACGGAGGAAAGAUUUAUCGCCAAGGGAUCGGCCCGCGUUGGAUUAGGUAGUUGGUGGGGUAAUGGCCUACCAAGCCGACGAUCCAUAGCUGGUUUGAGAGGAUGAUCAGCCACACUGGGACUGAGACACGGCCCAGACUCCUACGGGAGGCAGCAGUGGGGAAUCUUGCGCAAUGGGCGAAAGCCUGACGCAGCCAUGCCGCGUGAAUGAUGAAGGUCUUAGGAUUGUAAAAUUCUUUUACCAGGGACGAUAAUGACGGUACCUGGAGAAAAAGCCCCGGCUAACUUCGUGCCAGCCGCCGCCGUAAUAC
rnacentral:rRNA from 1 species